AGCUGCAGAGGGAGACAGGGACCUGGUCUGCUCCCCACUACCCUCCUGGUCCAGUGGGAACCCUGGCCCCACUGAGAACCAAUCUCCUGAGGAGAUGAGCCAGGACAAAGGUCUCACUUGCCUGUCAAGCAGCUGUGGUGUGACCUGGUCUGUAGCCCCAACUACCCCAACUAGCAUACCCUCAGUGGGAGAGACAGAACUCAUCCCACUGGAUAGUCUGGUUCCUGAGAUGUGUGCUCCUCUGCUCAAGGAUUCCCACUGCAAGGAUGAGAAACCUGAAGGAUACACGGGAGAGGCUGAAGGAAGCUGGUGUACAGGAAAUGGCCCGUGGGAAUCUUCUUUCUGUGGCCUGGUUCAACCUCAAAUACCAAUGUUCUGACACUGGUUGUAUGACCUAGAUAGGGUAGGGUCUUGGCUUUCUCUUGAGGCCUCAGUUUCCCCAUUUAUAAAACAAUCAAAAUUGAUCUCAGAUCCAUCCCUCCUAGUGCUGAUGUUCCAAGACCAAAAGGCCCAGAAGAGUGGGCCUAGCUAAUGUUUCUGGGCCUCAUCGUGGUAACAUGCACAGCCCUUGCCACUCCCCCAUGGCCCAUGUAGAAACAACCAUGUGGCCUUCACUCUGCCCACAGAAGCUAGCACCAGGACCCUGGUCAGGGUUAGAGGUUUCUGCUGAGUCAAAGCCACAUGGAGGGAGGGAGCAAGGGAGAGAUGCAGAGUCAUGUUUCCAGGAGGAGGUUAUCUGAGCAUAACAGGGACAGGGUGGGCCACAGGAUACCUCUGAGGCUCAGGUUCCCACCUCCACUCCACCCAAGCCUUCAAU
rnacentral:lncRNA from 1 species